GGUGGCUCAGUGGUAGAGUGCUUGCUUUGAAUGCAUAAGUCCCUGGGUUCAAUUCCUCAGCACCA
rnacentral:tRNA from 1 species